rnacentral:RNase_MRP_RNA from 2 species
CGAGUCUUCCAUGCUUGUCUCUCGGGGUCACAUACGAGUUCCUGGUAACUCUUUGAGAAUAUGUGCACUUGUGUGCAUAUUCUAUGCUAUACCCUGGGGAAAGUCCCCGGGCCUAGGUUAGAAAGUAACAAGGCGUAAAUUGGAAGUAUAUUAUCUAUCUCAAUAUGCUUUCGCCUAUAUUCCGUGGAAAUCCGCUGGGUGGUGUAUGAAGAGUUUCCUUGUGAAACGAAUUUAUAUGCCCAGUGUCUGCGGAAACGUGCCAGUAAUUGCUCAGUUAUAGACAAGUUGUGGGAUUUGUGGAGGUAAAGAACCACAUUCCCCCUACUACACGCAAUGGGGCUUACAUUGGGAAAUUC